rnacentral:rRNA from 1 species
UCAUGGAUACGCUGGAGAAAUCCAGUACAAUACAUGAUGUGCUCUUCGGAGUAAAGAUUUAUCGCUUUGAGAGGAGCCUGCGUCCUAUCAGCUAGUUGGUGAGGUAAAAGCUCACCAAGGCAAUGACGGGUAGGGGGUGUGAGAGCAUGGCCCCCAGCAUUGGAACUGAGACACUGUCCAAACACCUACGGGUGGCUGCAGUCGAGAAUAUUCCACAAUGGGCGAAAGCCUGAUGGAGCGACACCGCGUGCAUGAUGAAGGCCUUAGGGUUGUAAAGUGCUUUUAACUGGGAUCAAUGUACUGAGCGUACCAGUUGAAUAAGAGGUUACUAACUCUGUGCCAGCAGUAGCGGUGAUACAGAGACCUCAAGCGUUAUCCGGAUUUAUUGGGCGUAAAGCGUGUGUAGGUGGGUGUGUUAGUCGUAGGUUAAAUCUCCGAGCUCAACUCGGAAACAGCUCACGAAACGGUAUGUCUAGAGAAAGUGAGAGAUAACUGGAACUCAUGGUGUAGUAGUGAAAUGCGUUGAUAUCAUGGGGAACACCAAAGGCGAAGGCAGGUUAUUGGCACUUUUCUGACGCUGAGAUACGAAAGCGUGGGUAGCGAAGGGGAUUAGAUACCCCCGUAGUCCACGCCGUAAACGAUGCUUACUCGGCAUAUGGAGUAUCGACCCUCUGUGUGUCUUAGCUAACGCGUUAAGUAAGCCGCCUGGGAAGUACGAGCGCAAGCUUAAAACUCAAAGGAAUAGACGGGGAUCCGCACAAGUGGUGGAGCAUGUGGUUUAAUUCGAUACUAAGCGAGAAACCUCACCAAGACUAGAAACUUGGCUGCAAGCUCUAGAGAUAGAGCCUCUUUCGAAGGUGCCAAGCAGGUGCUGCAUGGUUGCCGUCAGCUCGUGACGUAAGGUGUUCCUUUAAGUAGGGAAACGAGCGCAACCCUUGUCGUGUGUUAUAUGUGUCACACGUGACUGCCCAGCCUUUUGAUCAUAAUAUCUAUUAUUAUCAGAAGGCUGGGAGGAAGGCGAGGAUGACGUCAAAUCAGCAUGGCCCUUGACGCCCAGGGCGACACACGUGCUACAAUGGUGCAUACAGAGGGUUGCCAAGCCGCGAGGUGGAGCUAAUCCCAGAAAGUGCAUCCCAGUUCGGACUGGAGUCUGCAACUCGACUCCAUGAAGUUGGAAUCGCUAGUAAUCGCGUAUCAGCCAUGACGCGGUGAAUACGUUCCCGGACCUUGU